UGGCUCAGUGGGUAGAGCGUGAGACUCUUGAUCUCUAGGUCAUGAGUUCAAGCCCCAU
rnacentral:tRNA from 1 species